GAUGAAGAACGCAGCGAAAUGCGAUACGUAAUGUGAAUUGCAGAAUUCAGUGAAUCAUCGAAUCUUUGAACGCAUAUUGCGCUCUCUGGUAUUCCGGAGAGCAUGCUUGUUUGAGUAUCAGUAAACACCUCAACUUCCAUAUCUUUUUUGAAAUGGGAGUUGGACUUGAGUGAUCCCAACGCUUUUCCUCACCGAAAAGUGGCGGGUUACUUGAAAUGCAGGUGCAGCUGGACUUUUCUCUGAGCUAUAAGCAUAUCUAUUUAGUCUGCCUAAAAAACAGAUUAUUACCUUUGCUGCAGCUAACAUAAAGGAGAUUAUUUCUUGUGCUGACUGAUGCAGGAUUCACAAAGACGGCUUCGGCCGACUUUGUAAACUCGAUCUCAAAUCAAGUAAGACUACCCGCUGAACUUAAGCAUAUCAAUAAGCGGAGGA
rnacentral:misc_RNA from 1 species